rnacentral:rRNA from 1 species
UACGUAGGGUCCGAGCGUUAAUCGGAAUUACUGGGCGUAAAGCGCACGUAGGCGGCUUGGUAUGUCGGGUGUGAAAUCCCCGGGCUCAACCUGGGAACUGCAUCCGAAACUGCCUUGCUCGAGUAUGGGAGAGGGAAGUGGAAUUUCCGGUGUAGCGGUGAAAUGCGUAGAUAUCGGAAGGAACAUCAGUGGCGAAGGCGACUUCCUGGACCAAUACUGACGCUCAGGUGCGAAAGCGUGGGGAGCAAACAGG